UACAGAGGGUGCUAGCGUUGUUCGGAAUCACUGGGCUUAAAGGGUGCGUAGGCGGCGCUGAAAGUUGGGUGUGAAAUCCCUCGGCUCAACCGAGGAACUGCAUUCAAAACUACAGUGCUUGAGGGAGACAGAGGUGAGCGGAACUUAGGGUGGAGCGGUGAAAUGCGUUGAUAUCCUAAGGAACACCCGUGGCGAAAGCGGCUCACUGGGUCUCUUCUGACGCUGAGGCACGAAAGCUAGGGGAGCGAACGGG
rnacentral:rRNA from 1 species